AGCAGCCGCGGUAAUUCCAGCUCCAAUAGCGUAUAUUAAAGUUGUUGCAGUUAAAAAGCUCGUAGUUGAAUUUCGAGACCGGUUUAUUGGUCGUGCUUUUGUACGUACUGGUAUUAUUGGUUUCUCCUUUCUGACGAAUCUUAAUGCCAUUAAUUUGGUGUUUUGAGGAAUCAGGACUGUUACUUUGAAAAAAUUAGAGUGUUUAAAGCAGGCUCACGCUUGAAUACAUUAGCAUGGAAUAACGGAAUAGGACGUUUGAUUCUAUUUUGUUGGUUUCUAGGAUCGACGUAAUGAUUAAUAGGGAUAGUUGGGGGCAUUAGUAUUCAAUUGUCAGAGGUGAAAUUCUUGGAUUUAUUGAAGACUAACUACUGCGAAAGCAUUUGCCAAGGAUGUUUUCAUUAAUCAAGAACGAAAGUUAGGGGAUCGAAGACGAUCAGAUACCGUCGUAGU
rnacentral:rRNA from 1 species